AUGAAAUAAGCUUACCAAAUCUCAAACAGAAAAAAAACAUAAAGAAGACUACACCAAGAUAAUUACAUUGCUUGCAACUAGGGAUAAAGAGAAAAAAAAUUUAAGUAGCCAGAGACAAAACACAAAGAGAAAACAAAGAUUGACAACAGACUUCUUGUCAGAACCAAUGCACCUCAGAAGGCAAUGAUGUCUUUAAAAUACUGAAACUAAAAAGAAACCGUCAAGUUAGAAUUCUAGACCCAGCAAACACACUUUUCAAAAACAGAGGUGAAUGAAGGCAUUUCAAACACAGAAAGAAAGAAUUCAUCAAAACCAGACUGCCACUAUUAGAAAUGCUAAAGGAAACUGUUCGGGCAGAAGGCUUAUGAUACCAAAUGGAAAUGCAGAUCUACCCAAAGGAAUGAAGAGCAGCAGAAAUGAAAAUAUGAUCUCAGACCAAGAUUCCCACUUUGCCUCCGAAGCUAAUUUUGGUCCCACUGGCAGAGGACUAGCGAGGACUUCCUGCCCUGCCUCUCCGGCUGCUGCCCCGACUCACACAGAGCUGAGCCCCGAAGACCGCCCCUCU